CAAGAUGUAGCUUAAUUAAAUCACCUCGCUUACACCGAGAAAAUAUUUGUGCAACUCAAAUCAUUUUGA
rnacentral:tRNA from 1 species